rnacentral:rRNA from 1 species
GGAAUCUGGGAGGACCAUCUCCUAAGGCUAAAUACUCUCUAGUGACCGAUAGUGAACCAGUACCGUGAGGGAAAGGUGAAAAGCACCCCGGAAGGGGAGUGAAAUAGAACCUGAAACCGUGUGCUUACAAGUAGUCAGAGCCCGUUAAUGGGUGAUGGCGUGCCUUUUGUAGAAUGAACCGGCGAGUUACGAUUUGAUGCAAGGUUAAGCAGUAAAUGUGGAGCCGUAGCGAAAGCGAGUCUGAAUAGGGCGUUUAGUAUUUGGUCGUAGACCCGAAACCAGGUGAUCUACCCUUGGUCAGGUUGAAGUUCAGGUAACACUGAAUGGAGGACCGAACCGACUUACGUUGAAAAGUGAGCGGAUGAACUGAGGGUAGCGGAGAAAUUCCAAUCGAACCUGGAGAUAGCUGGUUCUCUCCGAAAUAGCUUUAGGGCUAGCCUCAAGUGAUGAUUAUUGGAGGUAGAGCACUGUUUGGACGAGGGGCCCCUCUCGGGUUACCGAAUUCAGACAAACUCCGAAUGCCAAUUAAUUUAACUUGGGAGUCAGAACAUGGGUGAUAAGGUCCGUGUUCGAAAGGGAAACAGCCCAGACCACCAGCUAAGGUCCCAAAAUAUAUGUUAAGUGGAAAAGGAUGUGGCGUUGCCCAGACAACUAGGAUGUUGGCUUAGAAGCAGCCAUCAUUUAAAGAGUGCGUAAUAGCUCACUAGUCGAGUGACACUGCGCCGAAAAUGUACCGGGGCUAAACAUAUUACCGAAGCUGUGGAUUGUCCUUUGGACAAUGGUAGGAGAGCGUUCUAAGGGCGUUGAAGCAUGAUCGUAAGGACAUGUGGAGCGCUUAGAAGUGAGAAUGCCGGUGUGAGUAGCGAAAGACGGGUGAGAAUCCCGUCCACCGAUUGACUAAGGUUUCCAGAGGAAGGCUCGUCCGCUCUGGGUUAGUCGGGUCCUAAGCUGAGGCCGACAGGCGUAGGCGAUGGAUAACAGGUUGAUAUUCCUGUACCACCUAUAAUCGUUUUAAUCGAUGGGGGGACGCAGUAGGAUAGGCGAAGCGUGCGAUUGGAUUGCACGUCUAAGCAGUAAGGCUGAGUAUUAGGCAAAUCCGGUACUCGUUAAGGCUGAGCUGUGAUGGGGAGAAGACAUUGAGUCUUCGAGUCGUUGAUUUCACACUGCCGAGAAAAGCCUCUAGAUAGAAAAUAGGUGCCCGUACCGCAAACCGACACAGGUAGUCAAGAUGAGAAUUCUAAGGUGAGCGAGCGAACUCUCGUUAAGGAACUCGGCAAAAUGACCCCGUAACUUCGGGAGAAGGGGUGCUCUUUAGGGUUAACGCCCAGAAGAGCCGCAGUGAAUAGGCCCAAGCGACUGUUUAUCAAAAACACAGGUCUCUGCUAAACCGUAAGGUGAUGUAUAGGGGCUGACGCCUGCCCGGUGCUGGAAGGUUAAGAGGAGUGGUUAGCUUCUGCGAAGCUACGAAUCGAAGCCCCAGUAAACGGCGGCCGUAACUAUAACGGUCCUAAGGUAGCGAAAUUCCUUGUCGGGUAAGUUCCGACCCGCACGAAAGGCGUAACGAUUUGGGCACUGUCUCAACGAGAGACUCGGUGAAAUCAUAGUACCUGUGAAGAUGCAGGUUACCCGCGACAGGACGGAAAGACCCCGUGGAGCUUUACUGUAGCCUGAUAUUGAAAUUCGGCACAGCUUGUACAGGAUAGGUAGGAGCCUUUGAAACGUGAGCGCUAGCUUACGUGGAGGCGCUGGUGGGAUACUACCCUAGCUGUGUUGGCUUUCUAACCCGCACCACUUAUCGUGGUGGGAGACAGUGUCAAGCGGGCAGUUUGACUGGGGCGGUCGCCUCCUAAAAGGUAACGGAGGCGCUCAAAGGUUCCCUCAGAAUGGUUGGAAAUCAUUCAUAGAGUGUAAAGGCAUAAGGGAGCUUGACUGUGAGACCUACAAGUCGAGCAGGGUCGAAAGACGGACUUAGUGAUCCGGUGGUUCCGCAUGGAAGGGCCAUCGCUCAACGGAUAAAAGCUACCCCGGGGAUAACAGGCUUAUCUCCCCCAAGAGUUCACAUCGACGGGGAGGUUUGGCACCUCGAUGUCGGCUCAUCGCAUCCUGGGGCUGUAGUCGGUCCCAAGGGUUGGGCUGUUCGCCCAUUAAAGCGGUACGCGAGCUGGGUUCAGAACGUCGUGAGACAGUUCGGUCCCUAUCCGUCGUGGGCGUAGGAAAUUUGAGAGGAGCUGUCCUUAGUACGAGAGGACCGGGAUGGACAUACCUCUGGUGUACCAGUUGUCGUGCCAACGGCAUAGCUGGGUAGCUAUGUGUGGACGGGAUAAGUGCUGAAAGCAUCUAAGCAUGAAGCCCCCCUCAAGAUGAGAUUUCCCAACUUCGGUUAUAAGAUCCCUCAAAGAUGAUGAGGUUAAUAGGUUCGAGGUGGAAGCAUGGUGACAUGUGGAGCUGACGAAUACUAAUCGAUCGAAGACUUAAUCAA